rnacentral:tRNA from 1 species
AUACACAGCAGAAGAGGUACUGAGCUCCGACCACUAACUCCCAAAGCUAGUAUUCUAAACUAAACUAUUUCCUG